CUGGCUCAGAAUCAACGCUGGCGGCGUGCCUAACACAUGCAAGUCGAACGCGAAAGCCCCGCAAGGGGUAAGUAGAGUGGCAAACGGGUGAGUAACACGUGGGUGACCUGCCUUCGAGUGGGGGAUAACGUUCCGAAAGGAGCGCUAAUACCACAUGACAUCCUGCCUUUGAAGAGGCGGAGAUCAAAGCCUGGGAUCGCAAGACCUGGCGCUUGAAGAGGGGCCCGCGCCUGAUUAGCUAGUUGGUGAGGUAACGGCUCACCAAGGCGACGAUCAGUAUCCGGCCUGAGAGGGCGGACGGACACACUGGGACUGAGACACGGCCCAGACUCCUACGGGAGGCAGCAGUGGGGAAUUGUUCGCAAUGGGCGCAAGCCUGACGACGCAACGCCGCGUGGAGGACGAAGAUCUUCGGGUCGUAAACUCCUGUCGAGCGGGACGAAUGCCUCGCGGGUGAACAAUCCGCGGGGGUGACGGUACCGCUAAAGGAAGCCCCGGCUAACUCCGUGCCAGCAGCCGCGGUAAUACGGGGGGGGCAAGCGUUGUUCGGAAUUACUGGGCGUAAAGGGCUCGUAGGCGGCCAACUAAGUCAGACGUGAAAUCCCCAGGCUCAACCUGGGAACUGCGUCUGAUACUGGAUGGCUUGAAUCCGGGAGAGGGAUGCAGAAUUCCAGGUGUAGCGGUGAAAUG
rnacentral:rRNA from 1 species